CCUACGGGUGACAGCAGUGAGGAAUAUUGGUCAAUGGCCAAGGCUGAACCAGCCAAGCCGCGUGAAGGACGAAGGUGCCAAGCAUUGUAAACUUCUUUUGUCAAGGGACAAAAUCAGGCUCGAGAGCCUGACCGAGGGUACUUGAAGGAAAAGCAUCGGCUAACUCCGUGCCAGCAGCCGCGGUAAUACGUAGGUGGCAAGCGUUAUCCGGGUUUACUGGGUGUAAAGGGCGGGUAGGCGGGAAAGCAAGUCAGAUGUGAAAACCAUGGGUUCAACCGGUGGCCUGCAUUUGAAACUGUUUUUCUUGAGUACUGGAGAGGCAGACGGAAUUCGUCGUGUAGCGGUGAAAUGCGUAGAUAUGAGGAGGAACACCAGGGGCGAAGGCGGUCCGCUGGACAGCAACUGACGCUGAGGCGCGAAAGCGUGGGGAGCAAACAGGAUUAGAUACCCGAGUAGUC
rnacentral:rRNA from 1 species